rnacentral:tRNA from 1 species
CAAGAAUUAACAUAAGUUAAUGUAUCUCACUUACAUUGAGAAGAUAAUUAAAUAAUAAUUAUUUUUGA